CAGUAGCCGCGGUAAUACGUAGGUGGCAAGCGUUGUCCGGAAUUAUUGGGCGUAAAGCGCGCGCAGGCGGAUAGGUCAGUCUGUCUUAAAAGUUCGGGGCUUAACCCCGUGAUGGGAUGGAAACUGCCAAUCCAGAGUAUCGGAGAGGAAAGUGGAAUUCCUAGUGUAGCGGUGAAAUGCGUAGAUAUUAGGAAGAACACCAGUGGCGAAGGCGACUUUCUGGACGAAAACUGACGCUGAGGCGCGAAAGCCAGGGGAGCGAACGGGAUUAGAUACCCGCGUAGUCCCUGUCUCUUAUACA
rnacentral:rRNA from 1 species